rnacentral:lncRNA from 1 species
UGCCGGAAAAGGACGAUUCUGCACGAAGGGACCCGAGUCCUGACGAAAACGGCCGAGUGGGGUUCGGCGGAGCCGAGGCUGCGCUGGAAGAGCCUGGGUUGUCAGAGCAGGCAGAGGCGGCUCCGGCGGGCGGUUCGGGCACAGUGGGAGUGUUUGGGGUCUGAAGUGGCCAGCGGGACCGAGCAGAGGGUCGAGGUGAUCAGAGCAGACUCCUCAGAUUCCACACUCGCAGAGCAAAGGAUAAAUAUGGAGGCAAAGUUGCCGAUGAGACUAUGAGCUCAUGGCGUGUGAUGCUGCAGACCCAUGAAUUAAAGGAGGGACGCUCUCCUGCAGUGGUGAAGAAUCCCAGUACCUCUCGUCGGGCUUGGUCACCAGCACUCAGUUCCAUUAAGGAAAACGGGACCCCUCAGAAAGUUCUGUUUCUGUGGAGUUCAAUUCUUCCUACAGUUCUCAACAUCUGCCCGAGAUGUUUCCUUUACUUUGUAGAUGGCAAGUGUUAUGGCGGUCCUACUUUCUGCCUAGUUGGCUUAAACUCUCGUCCUCAUGGGAGUUGCUGCCCAACACACUGCCUCUGUUGCCAUCGUCCUCCUUGGGCUGUGCUGACACUGUGGGCCUUGCCUAGGCAGUCUUCCAGAGGCCACAUGUCAUUAUGUACCAUCACUAUGGAGACCAGGGCCCCGUGACUGGCUGCCCAUAAGCAGAGUCCAGAUUUGCCUGUUUUGCCUGAGCCGUUGCUCGGGCGAGUGCGGGCUCCUGGUCAGUGCAAAACGAGCCACGCUCUCGAAGCCAGGCUUUCCUCUGCCCUGCUGGAGGAGCACUGUUGGUGGCAUUGUGAUGAUGGUGAAAGCCGUUCAGGGGGUUUCUACCUUGAGCAAGACCCGCAGGAAGAGCAUGACUGUCCAACCACCAUCGCAACUGUGAUUUGCUGGCACACAGCAAACUUAAUAAAGGGAUAAAAAUGACUUUGAUUCCAACCAAGCUCUUACAGUCUUUACUGCGGCCUGUCAGUUAGGAGGGUUGCACCUGAGGCUCAGGAUGCCAGCGGUGAAGGAGGCCCAGAGGGGGCUGCAGAC